rnacentral:rRNA from 1 species
GAGUUUGAUCGUGGCUCAGAGCGAACGCUGGCGGCAGGCCUAACACAUGCAAGUCGAGCGGCCGUAGCAAUACGGCAGCGGCAGACGGGAGAGUAACACGUGGGAACGUGCCCUUUGGUUCGGAAUAACUCAGGGAAACUUGAGCUAAUACCGGAUAAGCCCUUACGGGGAAAGAUUUAUUGCCAAAGGAGCGGCCCGCGUCUGAUUAGCUUGUUGGUGAGGUAAUGGCUCACCAAGGCGACGAUCAGUAGCUGGUCUGAGAGGAUGAUCAGCCUCACUGGGACUGAGACACGGCCCAGACUCCUACGGGAGGCAGCAGUGGGGAAUAUUGGACAAUGGGCGCAAGCCUGAUCCAGCCAUGCCGCGUGGAUGAUGAAGGCCUUAGGGUUGUAAAGUCCUUCCGUUGGGGAAGAUAAUGACGGUACCCAAAGAAGAAGCCCCGGCUAACUUCGUGCCAGCAGCCGCGGUAAU